UGGUAUCAGAGCCUUAAGAUCAAGGCCCAAAAUGUCUCAUAUUGAAUUAGAGAGAGCUAAAAGAGAGAGAGAGUUAAAAGAAAAAGAGGAAGCCUCAAAGAUAGAAAGUUCUAUCACAGCAGCAGGAACCUUGUUCCCUGAGAAAGAAAGUUCAGUGUCGUUAAAAUAUCCUAUGCUGACAAAAAGUAAUUAUGCAGCAUGGGCUAUAAAGAUGGAGGUUUUUAUGAUGGCUCAAGGAGUAUGGGAUGCUAUUGAGUCACCUGAUCCAAUUGAUAGCCGCAGAGACAAAAUGGCAUUGGCUGCCAUUUACCAAGGUAUAGGGGAAGAUACCUUGCUUCAAUUGGGUGCAAAGAAGACCGCCAAGGAAGCAUGGAAUAUGCUAAAAAUGAUGAACCAGGGGGCUGACAAGGUUAAAGAGGUACGAUCUCAAACGCUUUGGAGAGAGUUCGAAGCAUUGAGAAUGGGGGAUUCCGAAAAUGUUGAUGAUUUCUCAGGAAAGCUUACAAUCAUUGUCAACAAAUUAAGGAAUCUUGGAAAUACUGUAGAAGAAGAAAGGGUAGUGAAAAAAUUGUUGAGAUCAGUCUCAUCCAAGUUCCUACAGAUCGUAUCCGCCAUAGAAGAAUUCAGUGACCUAACCACCAAAUCUGUUGAGGAGGUGAUAGGUUCACUAAAAGCCCAUGAAGAACGCUUACUUAGCUGUGGUGGGAAGUCGGACGAAACACUCCUUCUCACUAGAGCUGAGUGGAAAGCGAGAGAGGAGGCUACAAAGAACAAGAAAGCUUCUGCUAAUUCAAGAGGAGGAAGAAGCGGAGGACGCGGAGGACGCGGUCGUGGUAGAGGAAGACACUGUGGUGAAUCAAGCCGAGGCGGUGAUGAUGAGUCGAAACCACAAAAGAAGAAAUUCGACAAAUCAAAAAUUAAAUGUUACGGCUGCGGAAAGAUGGGACACUUUGCAUCGGAGUGCUUGUCAAAAGAGAAGGAUGAACAAGCCAAUUUGACAGAAACUGAAGAGGUAGAACCGGCUCUUUUAUUAAUUGAGAAUUGUGAGCUGAAUGCUUCGAAGGAAGAAAUUUACAUUGAAGAACCUUCUUUGUUAAUGAUUGAAACCUAUGAAGUUAUUGAAGGGGAAGUAUAUGUAGCUGCAACAGGAGGAAGUCUUAUGAAGGAAGCCGGGUGGUACCUCGAUACUGGAGCCAGUAAUCACAUGGCAGGUGAUAUAAAUUAUUUUUCUGAAAUUGAUCAGUCAAUUUUUGGUAAAGUAAAAUUCGGUGAUGAGUCUGUAAUUAAUAUCCAUGGGUUAGGCUCAGUGUUAUUCCAAUGCAAAAAUGGAGAACACUUAACACUAACAAAUGUAUAUUAUAUACCAAAAUUGAAAAGCAAUAUCAUCAGCCUAGGACAAAUCGAUGAAAAUGGCGGACGUGUGAUUAUUGAAGGAGGAAUUUUGAGGGUGUAUGAUGAUCUAAAUCGGCUCACAAUCAAGGUGAAGAGACAACCUAACAGAUUGUUUGCUGCAAAGCUCCAGGUUGCCGAGAAAGUAUGUUUAAUGACACAUAUGUCAGAUCAGAAUUGGCUAUGGCAUGCAAGAUGUGGGCAUCUGAAUUUCCAAGCAUUGAUGAGAAUGUCAAAACAAAGAAUGGUGGAGGGACUGCCAGAAAUUACACAAACUAAUCAGGUGUGUGAUGGUUGUGUAGUGGGAAAACAACACAGACUGCCAUUCCCACAUACUGCAACAUUUAGAGCAGAGGAACAGCUUGCAUUGAUUCAUGGAGAUCUCUGCGGUCCGAUUUCACCAACAACACCAGGAGGUAACAAAUACUUUAUGCUCUUGGUUGAUGAUUAUUCACGUUUUAUGUGGAUUUUUCUAUUAAAGUGGAAAGGUGAAGCAUUUGAAGUUUUCAAACGGUUCAAGAAAUUGGCCAAAUUUGAAAGUGGAAAAAGAUUAAAGUGCUUCAGAACAGAUCGCGGGGGUGAAUUUAAUUCAUCUGAGUUCAAGAAGUACUGCGAAGAGGAAGGUGUGAAGAGACAUCUCACGGCACCAUUCUCCCCACAACAGAAUGGCAUCGUGGAGAGAAGGAAUCAGAUUGUUCUUGAGAUGGCGAGAUGCAUAAUGAAAAGUAAAUCGGUACCUGCAGAUUUCUGGGGUGAGGCUGUUAAAACUUCAGUUUAUGUGUUAAACAGGUGUUUGACAAAAAGUGUAGAGGGGAUGACACCAUAUCAAGCUUGGUGUAAGAAGAUUCCAAAUAUACACCAUCUUCGUGUAUUUGGGUGUCUUUCUCACAUCAAGGUAACAUCACCUCAUCUCACCAAACUUGAAGACAGGAGUGUAAAAGGAGUGAUGAUUGGAUAUGAGGAAGGAUCAAAAGCCUACCGUCUCUAUGAUCCAGUUAAAAAGAAACUAAUAAUAAGUAGAGAUGUCAUUUUCGAAGAAGAAAAGAGCUGGCCAUGGCAGUCCGAAAAGAAAGAAGAGGAGCUGGAAAAUGUCGAUAUUUUCACUGUAAAAUUAAGAGAUGCAGGGG
rnacentral:misc_RNA from 1 species